GAAGGUGGGGAUGACGUCAAAUCAGCACGGCCCUUACGUCCGGGGCUACACACGUGUUACAAUGGGGGGGACAGAAGGCAGCUAGCGGGUGACCGUAUGCUAAUCCCAAAAUCCUCUCUCAGUUCGGAUCGAAGUCUGCAACCCGACUUCGUGAAGCUGGAUUCGCUAGUAAUCGCGCAUCAGCCACGGCGCGGUGAAUACGUUCCCGGGCCUUGUACACACCGCCCGUCAAGCCAUGGGAGCCGGGGGUACCUGAAGUACGUAACCGCAAGGAUCGUCCUAGGGUAAAACUGGUGACUGGGGCUAAGUCGUAACAAGGUAGCCGUACCGGAAGGUGCGGCUGGAACACC
rnacentral:rRNA from 1 species